rnacentral:snRNA from 8 species
AUACUUACCUGGCAAAGGGAGAUACGUGAUCAAGAAGGCGGUUCACCCAGGGCGAGGCUCAGCCAUUGCACUCCGGCUGUGCUGACCCCUGCGAAUUUCCCAAAUGUGGAAAUCUCGAUUGCAUAAUUUAUGGUAGUGGGGGACUGCGUUCGCGCUCUCCCCUG